rnacentral:rRNA from 1 species
UACGUAGGGUGCGAGCGUUGUCCGGAAUUAUUGGGCGUAAAGGGCUCGUAGGCGGUUUGUCGCGUCGGGGGUGAAAACCUCGGGCUUAACUCGGGGCUUGCUUUCGAUACGGGCAGACUAGAGGUAUGCAGGGGAGAACGGAAUUCCUGGUGUAGCGGUGAAAUGCGCAGAUAUCAGGAGGAACACCGGUGGCGAAGGCGGGUCUCUGGGCAGUAACUGACGCUGAGGAGCGAAAGCGUGGGGAGCGAACAGG